UUCUGGAUAUAAUGACACAAGUAUAAAUUUACAUCACUUAAACAUAAUGGGACUUUACCGCUUUUUUAACAAUUGGACAGAUAAAUCAGACUGUCUGAACCCUUGUUUUUGGCCCUAUUCUAAAAACUAAAUUAUAUCAGGGGUACCUUUAUUGAACUGCCAUGUCCGAAUGCUGAUUCUAAAAAAGGACUCGUAUAUUUGCAAUCUGGUGCCGAAACAAGUAAAAUUAGUCUAAUUAAUUAAAAAAUAUAACAGUUUAAAAUAAAUAACACAAAACUAAAUAAAAGUUUGUGAUUUGCUUCCGGGUUGAAUAGUCUGUCUUUUCCACUGUUACGGCUUAUAAAAAGUGACAUACUUUCACUUUCGAAAAAAGGGCAAAAUCUAGCACAUACACACAUAUGCUACCUUAAUCAAUGCAUAUAAGGUCAUGAGCGAUAACGAGUCAACAUCUUAUCAGCUAUCCCGAGUGAAUGCACUGCUUCCACGUCAUCUUCUCGAUCGAUGUUAUAUUCUUAAUGACCAAUGUUUUGUAAGAGACUCGAAAGUUAUUAAGACAAAUCAAAACAGGGGAGAUAAAUGGGAGAUUCAAGGAAAGGAUGUUAUGUUUCAGUUCUGACAGGAGUAUGCAUCGCCUUCAUAGCUGUUGGUGUAGGAUUGAUCGUGCAGUACGUGAACUACAGGACGUCUGAAUGUGUUUGUCCUGAAACAUCAAAGUCGUCAAAGCAGAGCGAUGGUAUUGGAAUGCUUCGACCAAAUGCAAAAGUUUCGCAUGAUUACAAAUUGUUUUACUUCGACUGUAGAGGGCGUGGUGAAAUUGCCCGUAUGAUAUUUGCAUACGCUGGACAUCCUUUUGUUGAUAAGCGCAUCGACUAUGAUGAAGAAUGGCCUUCAAUUAAAUACGAUUUUCCCCAGUAUGUUCUUCCAGUGCUUGAGAUUGACGGGUCCAAAAAUAUAACACAGAGUAUGGCCAUAGCCCGCCAUCUUUCCAGAGAGUUUGAUAUAUAUGGGAAAACUCCAACAGAACAAACAGUUAUUGAUGAGAUUACAGAAACGGUUGCUGAUAUUUAUAACUUUGCUCUCGAAUUUCAAGUAGCUCCAACAUCCCAAGAAAGGGUACAGAAGAAGGCCGAUUUUUAUAAAGUGGAUUGUCCAAAGUUUUUAAUGUUUCUUGAAAACCUUGUAGCUGAAACGGGGCAAAAUGGUUUUGCUGUUGGUGAUAGCUUCACAGUAGCUGACUUGAUGCUCUUCGUCUACAUUGAACAUACGGAAGCACAUUUUACACCACCCGAGGCGCCAUUGCUGAAAAACUAUUCGCUUCUCGACCGGAACCGGGAAUUGGUUUCGUCAAUUCCAAGGAUACAGGAAUACCUUCAGAAAAGACCGGAACAAGAUAUGUAGUGAUUCAAGUUGAAAAAAAGUGUUUGUAUAAAAAAAAAGAAACAAGGAGCCCCAGUCUUAUCGUAUUCUAAAGAACUUUUUUUCACGGAACUUUCAUCUUACCUUCAGAAUAGGCCGGAACAAGAUCUGUAGUGAUAAAUUUUCAAAAAAGUUUUUUUAAUAAAAAAUGAGACAGAGAGACCAGUCUUGACCGUAUGACAGUAAAGUUGGUAGGUAGUUGGUAGGUAGUUGGUUGAUAGUUGGGGAUUCAAAUAUUCAACUACCUACUAGUUGCCAGUUGGGGAUUCGAAUACUCAACUACCUACUAGAUGCCAGUUUGGGAUUCGAAUAUUCAACUACCUACUAGAUGCCAGUUUGGGAUUCGAAUAUUCAACUACCUACUAGAUGCCAGUUUGGGAUUCGAAUAUUCAACUACCUACUAGUUGCCAGUUGAGGAUUCGAAUAUUCAACUACCUACUAGUUGCCAGUUGAGGAUUCGAAUAUUCAACUACCUGUUAGUUGCCAGUUGAGGAUUCGAAUAUUCAAUUACCUACUAGUUGCCAGUUGAGGAUUCGAAUAUUCAACUACCUACUAGUUGCCAGUUGAGGAUUCGAAUAUUCAACUACCUACUAGUUGCCAGUUGAGGAUUCGAAUAUUCAACUACCUACUAGUUGCCAGUUGAGGAUUCGAAUAUUCAACUACCUACUAGUUGCCAGUUGAGGAUUCGAAUAUUCAACUACCUGCUAGUUGCCAGUUGAGGAUUCGAAUAUUCAAUUACCUACUAGUUGCCAGUUGAGGAUUCGAAUAUUCAACUACCUACUAGUUGCCAGUUGGGAAUUCGAAAAAAACAACAGAGUUAGAUGUUGAUGUUGAUAUUAAGCUACUCGUCUAUUUCCAGUCGGUUAUUCGCGAGUAUUCAACUAGUAACCAGUUGGUAGUUGGGGAUUCAGAUAUUUGUCUUUUUUAUGGUUUGAAGGUACACAUGUUAAGAAAUCAAACAUUUCUUGUGUUUUUAUUCAUGUACACAGAUGUAUCUUUGUGACAAACACUGGUUAUAUUCACUAUUGUUCGUACUUCCGCCAGUCGGAUAUUCGACCAUUUCCAUUCGGUUUUUCGCAAAUAUUCUACAAGCCAUUUGGUUCUUCGAUUAUUGCCAGUCGGUUAUUCGCGAAUAUCUAACUACCAACCAGAUGUAUUACUAGUCAUGCACACAUAUGUACCUCCGUUAACUUGGAGGUUGUUUUAUUCCCGGGAACGUCUAAGAAGUGUCCUCGUUGUUGUUAUAAUUACAUUCCCCCUUUUGUCCCAUUCACAAGAAAUCGGAUGUAAAUAGGUUUAUCAUUCAAUGUUUCUGAUAAGCCCAACGGCUGGCCCUUAAUUGAGACGUGUUAUACUGUAAUUAAAAAACACACUUAAGUAUGUAAUCGUUUUGAGUUUAAACAUAUAAACAAGAGUUGCAAUAUGAAUUACAUUUACUGUAAAUUUAUUUAAUUUCAAAACAUUAGAUGGUUAAAGAACUUUGAUCUUCAUCAACAUGUAAGUAAGUAAGUAUUGGGUUGUGAUUCAAAUUACGGAUAUUAGCAUAAUAUGUUAGUUUAUGGUUUGUUCUUUUACUUAUGUUUGUUAUCUUAAAAUAAAACAGAUUUUAAACAAAAUAUUUCAC